CAGCAGCCACGGUAAUACGAAGGGUGCAAGCGUUACUCGGAAUUACUGGGCGUAAAGCGUGCGUAGGCGGCUAAUUGAGUCGGAUGUGAAAUCCCCGAGCUUAACUUGGGAAUUGCAUUCGAUACUGGUUAGCUAGAGUGUGGGAGAGGAUGGUAGAAUUCCAGGUGUAGCGGUGAAAUGCGUAGAGAUCUGGAGGAAUACCGAUGGCGAAGGCAGCCAUCUGGCCUAACACUGACGCUGAGGUACGAAAGCAUGGGGAGCAAACAGGAUUAGAUACCCCUGUAGUCCCUGUCUCUUAUAA
rnacentral:rRNA from 1 species